rnacentral:rRNA from 1 species
CCUACGUGAGGCUGCAGUGAGGAAUAUUGGUCAAUGGACGCAAGUCUGAACCAGCCAUGCCGCGUGCAGGAAGACGGCUCUAUGAGUUGUAAACUGCUUUUGUACGAGGGUAAACGCAGAUACGCGUAUCUGUCUGAAAGUAUCGUACGAAUAAGGAUCGGCUAACUCCGUGCCAGCAGCCGCGGUAAUACGGAAGGCCCGAGCGUUAUCCGGAUUCAUUGGGCUUAAAGGGAGCGUAGGCGGGCGUUCAAGUCAGCUGUAAAAUCGCGCGGCUCAACCGCGCCCCGCAGUUGAAACUGGACGCCUUGAGUUCACAACAGGCAGGCGGAAUUCGUGGUGUAGCGGUGAAAUGCAUAGAUAUCACGAGGAACCCCGAUUGCGAAGGCAGCCUGCCGGGGUGCGACUGACGCUGAGGCUCGAAGGUGCGGGUAUCAAACAGGAUUAGAUACCCUUGUAGUC